rnacentral:lncRNA from 1 species
UGGACAGCAGCAGCUCUCCCCUUCAGCACGCGCCACCUCCUGCGGCCGCCUCGGCGCCAGCCCCUGGGUCGCGCCUGAGGGCGCCGGGGUCCCGCGGCGCAGCUGGCCCUGCCUUGCUUGCCGCCCUCCACCGCCUUGGGCGAGAGAUUGCCAGCCUAAACCUGCAGCGUGUAGAGGCCAAACCUUCCCCACCCCGGCACUCGAGCGUUGUGUUCUCCAGGGAUCCCCACUUUAGGGGACAAGGGGCAUUUUUAGUCUACGGCGUGACCCUCUUAGAGGAAAUGCGGUGCCGAGACCCUUAGGAACAAGGUGUCUAUUCUCUGCUUAAACGGACGAAGACUUCGGUUCAACUCUCUGCCAGACCAUUGGAGGAUUCUUUAUGCAAAUAAGCUCUUUAGCCAUCCGGACGACGNNNNNNNNNNNNNNNNNNNNNNNNNNCCUGGCCCCUCACCAGUUGGAAAGCCAAGCUAAGGGGAGAUCGGAAUGUUUGCUUACCUUUUCACCUCUGAGGAAGUCUUGGCUUUUACCCUGAUCAGUGUCAACCUGGCAGAGCAUCUGCAGGGGCCUCCAGGAAGGUUGUGGAGUCCGGGUAGCCUAUUCCACACGAGUCCCAGUCAUCCUGACACACAAGACUGUCCAUGGUGUCGCUGAGCUGGCUCUGUUGUUCUCUCCACCUCAGGCUUAUCACCAUUGACCUGUGCUCAAUUAAUACCAGGGAGUUGAUGGAGUGAUUGGACUGACUGCUCAAUGAGGAUGCUGAAGUUCCCAUGGGCAAUAGACUGGAAGAGUGGGCGUGGAGGAGAUGAAUCCUGUCCAGGUGCCAGCCAUCCAGGAAUAAAGAAGCGUUUCCAGAAAGAGUAAUCAAGCUGACUCAAAAGUACUUGGCACACAGGUGUGGACCUUGAGUCCCAAGCAGCGCACCUCUUGUAGUGACCACAAGGGGGCGGCAGAGGGCACAGUCCAGGUAUCAAGCUGUAGAUAAUGGCACCUGGUCAGCUAACAGCCCUGCUGGGAAGGAGAUAUUGGUCUAUGUGAUUUGCACAGGAUAAAGUGGGCUUCUUACUAGAAGUCCUGAAAGCAAGGUGCCUAGACCAAGGUUGGGAAAGCCAG